rnacentral:lncRNA from 1 species
AGCUCUGUCCACUUCAGCCCAGCCAAGUCAUUAGAGGUUUCUAAGCAGAGGAUUGUGUUAUGAAGCCUCAUACACACUGCUAGCUACAUCAGCAUCCCUGGGUUGCUAAACACAUAUUUUUACCACCCAAAUUCAGGUUUAGGGGGAUUUUGAUCCAUGGAGGAAGGUCUCAGCCAAGCACUGAAAAGAUGCUCGUUAGCCUCCAAAAUAUAAAUAAAAUAUUUACAAAGAGAAUAAUUGACUUUUGAUGUUUACUUCAGGCUAUGGUUAAGCAGGCAGUGUCUGUGCUGAGCAAUGCAGUGACCACCUGCCACAAAUGCUGUGAUAUUUGACAGAUCCCUUUCUGCCAAGAACUAUAAUUCCUAUUUAAAUCUAAAUAGAGGAGCCAUGAAUGCAGAUUUCUCAUCACAAAGACGCUGAUGUUAAUCCCCGGUACAGAAAAAAAAAUAAGAAAAGCCAGAACGUUUUAUUGGAUUUUAUAUGGAAGAUAAUUAAACAGUAUUUCUUCUUUACUUGUUAUACAGCAUCCCAUCAACUUUCCUGAAAUUUGUUUAUAAAGGAAACCAGAAAGUUUCAUUACAUUUAUAUGUAAAAGAAAAUUAGCAUUUUGUAUCUUUGGGCUCACAUUAGAAUAACAAAAAGGCAGGUAAACAAAAAUGACCAAAAAAAUAUACCAAUAAAUGGAGGAGAAUAAAAAGAAAAAAGUGAGGAAGGCACAAUGCUGUUCUCCUACGUACAGCUUUAUAUUCCAAGCAUGCUAACAGAAUGAAUGUUUAUGUGCAUACGUACAUAUCAUAUAUAUUCAAAUACCGAGCAGUUCUGAAAAGCUAAGCUCCCAGAAGUUAGAGGAAAUGCAAGAAUUACAUGUGCUUGCACACCCCUCAUUUGGCCUUUUUGCUUGUGUACACGGACGGGUGCUAUUUUUUUCACACACUCAUUGCACAAAAUGGUGCAGUGUAGGCAGAAAAUUGGCUGGCAGCAUGAUGUAAUCUCCGUGAGCUGCUUUGCAGAAGCCUGUUUCUUUCUGCCCACAAGCCAGUUUGGUAUUUUGGAUGUACCCAAGGAAGUUCUCUUAGCAUGUUUCCCAGCAGCCAGUGGUGCCUUCCUACUGAUAGGACCGAAUCCCAGCACGGAGCCAUCGCCACAGGCAGGAGGAUGACAAACAGGAGGCACAACAGGUACAAGGCAGAAAUCCGUCUUAAAUUCACUUGACUCGUCAGCUGUUUUAUGGGCCUUGUUGUCGCUGCUCGCACACUUGUAUUCUGCUGGUGUCAGUACAGCAACUUCACUGAAGUCCUCCUGUGUAAGAGCACUUCAGGCCCUCCAGAC